UUACCAGAGUACUAUGAAUAUUUAAAGAUUUAAAACUCAAAGAACUUGGCGGUGUUUUAGACCACUCAGGGGAACCUGUCUCGUAAUCGACAAUCCACGUUGUACCUGACCUUUUUUUGUUUUCAGUUUGUAUACCGUUGUCGUCAGGUAACUUUUUAGAAAUUAGAAGUUAGCAGUAAAAUUAUUGAUGAUUUAGUACGUCAAAUCAAGGUGCAGCUAAUAAAAAGGGGAGGAUGGGUUACAAUUAUAUGAUUUAUAAUAACGGAUAAACAUACGAAUGUAUGUUAAAUUAUAAGGCGGACUUGAAAGUAAAUUGGAAUAUGUAAGUAAUUUGAAUGAGGCUCUGAAACGUGU
rnacentral:rRNA from 1 species